AUGUCUUUUCAGAUAAAAUUGUUAAUCAAAAUCUAAAUGUUGGAAACAUUUUGUCGGAGCAAACUGUGGCACUCAAAUCAACAAUAACUUCUCUUUGGAACAAUCCAAAACAUUUAGAGCGAUUUUCAAUAGAAACCGAUGAUGCAUUACAAGAUUGGGAAAAUUACAUAAAUGAUUAAAAUAAAAGUGGAAUGAUUCAUGCGGUAAAAAGCAUGGUUUAAGAAAAAAUUUAAAAUUGGUUUUAAGUCCCACACAAAGUAGAGACACAAAAAAGAGACUUUACAAUUAUUCUAGGAUAAUGGAUUUUUUUACACGCCACCGUAAACCCUUAUGAUCUUCAUACUUUUGAAGAUGAUAUGAGAAAAGCCAUCAAGGAUAUCAAAAAUCGCCAUUUUAAAAAUGCCAGCUUGAAAAGAAAAAAUGCCACAAGUACUGAGAACAACUAAAAAUAUUAAAGUUUUAAUUGAAAUUAAAUAUUCACGAUGAUAAAUGCAAAUGUUUAAAACCCAUAUUGUAAAAUAUUUUAUUUAAUAUUUUUACAAAUUAUUUAUUAAUUAUAAAUUUAGAUGAAAUG